GCUGGGUGUGGUAGUGCACACCUAUAGUCCCAGCUACUUGGGAGGCUGAGGCAGGAGGAUAGCUUGAACCCAGGAGGUUGAGGCUACAGUGAGCUGAGAUCACACCACUGUACUUCAGCCUGGGUGACAAAGUGAGACCCUGUCUCCA
ensembl:misc_RNA Metazoa_SRP Metazoan signal recognition particle RNA